CAGAAUCGUGGUUUAUGUUCAGAAAGACUAAUUUUUCCUCAACAAAGCUGGAAAGGUUAGGAUAUUGUCCAGAUGAGGCAAUUCUCCAAAAGUUUUGGAAACUUUGUGAGCAACAACUUUAUAUUUCAGGUACGUUAUUUCACUACAACAAUUAUGCCCAUAUAUUACAUUAAAAUAUAGCAUAUUUUUAAAAGUGUUAUUGUCCCGUGCUAAUAGACUUAGGCGCUAAAAAGACAGCUAAAAUGAAAUAUUAGGCGGCAAAUAUAAUAGACUUAGGCGCCAAAUGAAAGAAAAAACCCUUACCCUAAUCUCUAAGGUUGAAUCCCUAAUAACCCUUUACGCCUCCUCUCUCACACUCAGUAACUCUCUCUCGUUCUAUCUUUCUCUCUUAGCUACUCUCGUUCAAUCCUUCUUUCCUUCUCUCUGUUUGUUGCAGGUGUGUAACAAGGUGAUAGGGGCCCGCGGCUUGGGUUGUAUGACAGGGAGGCUCGAUUCGUGGGUCUAUGGCGUGGCUCGCUCGUGGGUGCGACGGUGCUUGCGGCGGUGGGUCUACGACAUGGCUCGACUGGUCUAUCUUCCAUCAGAUACGAUUUGGGGUUUGUAGAUUCAACUUGUUUCCGUGUCUAUGUGAAAGUCAGAUGUGAAGAGAUGGUGGAGACAACUGACUUAACAUUAAUGUAGUUGCAGGACUAAUGAGAAUAAUUGCUAGGAUACAUAUACUUGGGGCUCUAAACGGUGUGAAGAUGGACUUGGCAAAUGUUGUUUCCCCUUUGCUUAUAGCAUAGCUAGAGAGCUUGAUUUGGAGGAAUGGACGUCCAGGACUGAAACUGCUAAUGUGCUGCAUGAGCCAGUAUGUCUCUUUUCAUCUCAUCUCAUCUUGCAAGUCAUUUAUAAU